rnacentral:sRNA from 1 species
UUGUAUAUAUUUUUUAUACGAACUCAAAACUACAGAGUCCAAAACUCAAUUUUGAUACGCAGAAUUGCAGAAUUGCCCAUGUGAUGCUCCGAAUCCUCCGACGGGUUACACCAUAUCGAGAAGUUAUCCAAUGAGAAAGCCGCUUAAAUUUUGGAGGAUCUAUGAUGGACGACAGAGAAAAAUAACGCUUUGUUUGUGAAAGAUUUUUUGAGCGCAAGCAAGGAUUAUUAAAACGAAAACCAAGCCAAACCAACUAAAUACCCAAAACGACAAAAAUCGACAAAAAACGACGAAAAACGAACAAAAAUCCUAAAAUCCAUUCGCAAGUUUUUCGGGCAAAGCAUCGAAAACACACUUUUGAGAUUCGAAAAAUCAAAGCGAAACGAACAAAAACAAACUGGAAAGGAGCAGAAAAGACCUGGAGGACGAGAACGGGUGUAAAACGAAGGGAAAUACAAAUCAAAUUUAAAUAAAAUUAAAUGCAAAGGACAUUCGCAUGUGUGUGGUGGUGGAAAGAAAAUUCAAAACAAAAUUCACAAUUAGAAAACGCAGGAAAAAACGUAGAAAACGCAGACACAAAAUCAAGAGUGCCAGCAGCAACAGCAGCAACCAACUGUCAACAGCGGGAAGAAUUUUGAACUGGAACAUUUCGACCAAAAAGUUUGUUGGGCGACAGCAAAAUUUCAACGUUUGGCGCACUACAACACAGCAGCAAACAGCAGCAAGGACAUCGCGGCCAGGCAGCCAGGAUUGCAGGAGCGAGCGGUUUUGAAAGCGCAACACACAUCGACAAACCCUUCUCACACGGACUAGUACUCACACUCGGAUCGGAACCAGGAUACCUUUUGGCUUAGAAAGCGGCCCAAGGAAAAGCCGCAGCCAGAACCUUAAGCUCAAAAUCACGCAUACGCCGCGGCGAACUCGCGCUCUCUCUUUGCCGGAACGAAGGGGAAGCAAAGCCAGAGCAAAAACCGACCAGCCAAUCCGAGGAAGCGGAGAGGGUGCCAGAGGGUUGCUGAGGGGAAAGCAGGCAGCGAAGGCAGCAAAGGCAGCGAAAGCAGGGAAUUCAUCGAGAGCUGAGAAGCGCGAGGCGAGAGAGCUGCUGCUGCUGGUGGGC